rnacentral:tRNA from 1 species
GCUCCUGUAGCUCAGGGGAUAGAGCGCCGGAUUCCGGAUCCGGAUGUCGCAGGUUCAAUUCCUGCCAGGAGCAC